rnacentral:rRNA from 1 species
GACGAACGCUGGCGGCGUGCCUAACACAUGCAAGUCGAGCGAGUGAAUCUCCUUCGGGAGUGAAGCUAGCGGCGGACGGGUGAGUAACACGUGGGCGACCUGCCUCAUAGAGGGGAAUAGCCUUUCGAAAGGAAGAUUAAUACCGCAUAAGAUUGUAGCUUCGCAUGAAGUAGCAAUUAAAGGAGCAAUCCGCUAUGAGAUGGGCCCGCGGCGCAUUAGCUAGUUGGUGAGGUAACGGCUCACCAAGGCGACGAUGCGUAGCCGACCUGAGAGGGUGAUCGGCCACAUUGGGACUGAGACACGGCCCAGACUCCUACGGGAGGCAGCAGUGGGGAAUAUUGCACAAUGGGGGAAACCCGGAUGCAGCAACGCCGCGUGAGUGAUGACGGCCUUCGGGUUGUAAAGCUCUGUCUUCAGGGACGAUAAUGACGGUACCUGAGGAGGAAGCCACGGCUAACUACGUGCCAGCAGCCGCCGUAA